rnacentral:rRNA from 1 species
CCGCAUCUGUGCAUGCAGCAUAUCAAUAAGCGGAGGAAAAGAAACUAACAAGGAUUCCCCUAGUAACGGCGAGUGAAGCGGGAAGAGCUCAAAUUUGAAAUCUUAAAGGGUUUCCCUUUACGAAUUGUAGUUUAAAGAAGUGUUUUCUGUUGAGGUUUUGGUAAAAGUUCUUUGGAAUAGGACAUCAUAGAGGGUGAGAAUCCCGUAUUUGACCUUUACUUUCAACUUUGUGAUACACUUUCAAAGAGUCGGAUUGUUUGGGAAUGCAGUCCAAAAUGGGUGGUAAAUUUCAUCUAAAGCUAAAUAUUGGCGAGAGACCGAUAGCGAACAAGUACCGUGAGGGAAAGAUGAAAAGAACUUUGAAAAGAGAGUUAAACAGUACGUGAAAUUGUCAAAAGGGAAGCGUUUGAUACCAGUGUUGUUUUUCUGAAAAUCAAUUAAAGAACUGUUUAUGCUAAGCUGUUUAGACUUUAUCAGCUAUCUGUUUAGUUUUGAGCUUUUCUUUAAUGCACUUUUCAGUUAACAAGUCAACAUCAAUUUCUUUUGCUGUAAAAAAGCUUGAGGAAGGUGGCUUGAGAUUCGUCUUAAGUGUUUAUAGCCUCUUGCCUAUGCAGUCGGAGAGAUUGAGGUCUGCAGCGUAGAUCCUUCGGGGCUAAAUGCAUUUGUGCUAAGUUAUAGCAUUUUAUAGACAACUUGUUGACUAUGAUUUGUCUUGUAGCUUACUCGCUUAUGUUAUUUUACCUACGCUUAGGAUGUUGAAUCUGUGCGAGACUAC